rnacentral:rRNA from 1 species
GAUGAACGCUGGCGGCGUGCCUAAUACAUGCAAGUCGAGCGAACGGACGAGAAGCUUGCUUCUCUGAUGUUAGCGGCGGACGGGUGAGUAACACGUGGAUAACCUACCUAUAAGACUGGGAUAACUUCGGGAAACCGGAGCUAAUACCGGAUGAUGUUUUGAACCGCAUGGUUCAAAAGUGAAAGACGGUCUUGCUGUCACUUAUAGAUGGAUCCGCGCUGCAUUAGCUAGUUGGUAAGGUAACGGCUUACCAAGGCAACGAUGCAUAGCCAACCUGAGAGGGUGAUCGGCCACACUGGAACUGAGACACGGUCCAGACUCCUACGGGAGGCAGCAGUAGGGAAUCUUCCGCAAUGGGCGAAAGCCUGACGGAGCAACGCCGCGUGAGUGAUGAAGGUCUUCGGAUCGUAAAACUCUGUUAUUAGGGAAGAACAUAUGUGUAAGUAACUGUGCACAUCUUGACGGUACCUAAUCAGAAAGCCACGGCUAACUACGUG